AUUGAACGCUGGCGGCAGGCCUAACACAUGCAAGUCGAGCGGGGUUUUCGGACCUAGCGGCGGACGGGUGAGUAAUGCGUAGGAAGCUACCCGAUAGAGGGGGAUACCAGUUGGAAACGACUGUUAAUACCGCAUAAUGUCUACGGACCAAAGUGUGGGACCUUCGGGCCACAUGCUAUCGGAUGCGCCUACGUGGGAUUAGCUAGUUGGUGAGGUAAUGGCUCACCAAGGCGACGAUCCCUAGCUGGUUUGAGAGGAUGAUCAGCCACACUGGAACUGAGACACGGUCCAGACUCCUACGGGAGGCAGCAGUGGGGAAUAUUGGACAAUGGGCGCAAGCCUGAUCCAGCCAUGCCGCGUGUGUGAAGAAGGCCUUCGGGUUGUAAAGCACUUUCAGUAGGGAGGAAGCGUUGUGUGUUAAUAGUACACAGCGUUGACGUUACCUACAGAAGAAGCACCGGCUAACUCUGUGCCAGCCGCCGCCGUAACAC
rnacentral:rRNA from 1 species